AAUAAGUAGAACCAUCCCCAACUCCAAGGUUUUUACAUUCUAGCAGAGAUUUUUACACUCCAGGAACUGGAUUUUGAGCCAUCCUGGUGGAAUGGGAGCUCCUCUGAUGCAUUGAGCAUAUGGUCAGUGUGAGGUUGGAUUACGUCUAGUGAUGAUCCAUCCUGCUUUCUGCCCCAUAAGCGGCUGCUGCUGUCAUCUACACCUCCUUCAACUACCUCUGACACACUGCUUAGACGGGAAUAAUUUAAGACACAUCAAGAGCCAAAUAUUUGACCGAAACAACAUAAAGAAGAUGUUAGAAAGUGAUAAAAACACAGGAUGAACUUUGUGAACAACCAAGAUGGAAGAUACACUGAUAAAUGAGAUUAGAGCUGUGUUAGUGAAGGGGAAUUUGAGAUCCAGGAGAGUUCCAGAAGUUAGUCAAAACUCUACAUAGCUUUUGGGAGUUUGGUGUUUGCAUCUGGAACCCUAAAGCUGCAUUGACUCACUGCUUCUGCAUUCGAUGUACCCCUCUGGACAAACAAACAAAGAAAGGAAAGAGAAAGAAGUUGGCUUGGAGCCACCUCAGCGGAGAGCAAGCGCUCAGUUUUGCAACUAUCCAGCAGCAACACUUUCUGUUUUUUGUCAUGGAAAUUGUAUGUAGUGCUUAGCUGUCCACGAGGGUCUUGCUAAACGGAUGCAAUAGUCACUUUUCAAUCACGUCUAAUGAAGUUACGUUAAAAUCUUUCCUACACGAAUCAGCCUUUUCUGCCUUUUAGCGUGGCAAAGAGAAACUCUGGACGUUUUGGAAAUUCAUCCGUUUUGAAUUAUCUCCAUUCCAAUGUAAACUUCAGUGUUUUUCAGCGCUGAACCAUGUGCUCAUUUUGCCCAUCCUAAGGCCUGGUGUUUUGUCCGCUUGGAACAGAAAAUGAAAAAUUUCAAACUUCCCCUUAGAACAAUUCUCAGUUACAAUUGGAGAUGGAAUUGGUUAUGCAGGGAGAAAGAUUCGUGAUAUUCAUUGAGCACCACCCCAGUGCAGAACUGGAUCAAGCACUUAGAAAGAGCAAAACAGAUAAGCAAAACGCAUACACCCUGCCUUCCGGGAGCUUACAAUCGAUCCUAAGGCUCAUGGUCACCUGGGUGAAGUGUCCCUCAACAGAGCCGAUCUUCGGUCCAAAGAUGCCGACAGUGAGCCCGCUUCUGUGGGUGAGGAGUAUUAGACUGCACAUUUUGCCCAUGCCCUGUGCCUUGCGGAAUAAGUAUUCUUACACUCCAAUGGUUACGAGGGGAAAGAUGUGACCUAUCAUCGAGAGAAUGUGCCCUUGAGUUGUUUUCGCAGAGGGGCCGAUAGCUUGGAUUUAGCCAUCCACCCUCUCUUACCCACUGCCACACAUUGCCAGACAGCUAGCAGUCUCUGAUCCCAGA